rnacentral:tRNA from 1 species
GGCAGUGUAGCCAAGUGGUUACGGCGUCACGUUUAGGUCCUGUGAGAUAAAAACCGUGAUGGGUUUCCCGCGCGAGUUCGAAUCUCGUCACUGUCA